UGGGGAUUAGCCAAGCGGUAAGGCAUCAGACUCUGACUCUGACAUUCACAGGUUCGAAUCCUGUAUCCCCAG
rnacentral:tRNA from 1 species